rnacentral:rRNA from 1 species
AGAGUUUGAUCCUGGCUCAGGAUGAACGCUGGCGGCGUGCUUAACACAUGCAAGUCGAACGAGCCUUCGGGCUAGUGGCGGACGGGUGAGUAACGCGUGAGAAUCUGCCCUCAGGAGGGGGAUAACGGCUGGAAACGGCCGCUAAUACCCCAUAUGCCGCGAGGUGAAAUGAGAAAUCGCCUGAGGAUGAGCUCGCGUCUGAUUAGCUAGUUGGUGGGGUAAGAGCCUACCAAGGCAUCGAUCAGUAGCUGGUCUGAGAGGAUGAUCAGCCACACUGGGACUGAGACACGGCCCAGACUCCUACGGGAGGCAGCAGUGGGGAAUUUUCCGCAAUGGGCGCAAGCCUGACGGAGCAACGCCGCGUGAGGGAUGAAGGCCUCUGGGCUGUAAACCUCUUUUCUCAAGGAAGAAGAACUGACGGUACUUGAGGAAUAAGCCACGGCUAAUUCCGUGCCAGCAGCCGCGGUAAUACGGGAGUGGCAAGCGUUAUCCGGAAUUAUUGGGCGUAAAGCGUCCGCAGGCGGUCUUGAAAGUCUGUUGUUAAAGCGUGGAGCUCAACUCCAUCUCAGCAAUGGAAACUAGAAGACUAGAGUGUGGUAGGGGCAGAGGGAAUUCCCGGUGUAGCGGUGAAAUGCGUAGAUAUCGGGAAGAACACCAGUGGCGAAGGCGCUCUGCUGGGCCAUAACUGACGCUCAUGGACGAAAGCCAGGGGAGCGAAAGGGAUUAGAUACCCCUGUAGUCCUGGCCGUAAACGAUGAACACUAGGUGUCGGGGGAAUCGACCCCCUCGGUGUCGUAGCCAACGCGUUAAGUGUUCCGCCUGGGGAGUACGCACGCAAGUGUGAAACUCAAAGGAAUUGACGGGGGCCCGCACAAGCGGUGGAGUAUGUGGUUUAAUUCGAUGCAACGCGAAGAACCUUACCAGGGUUUGACAUCCUGCGAAUCUUUUGGAAACAGAAGAGUGCCUUCGGGAGCGCAGAGACAGGUGGUGCAUGGCUGUCGUCAGCUCGUGUCGUGAGAUGUUGGGUUAAGUCCCGCAACGAGCGCAACCCACGUCUUUAGUUGCCAGCAUUGAGUUGGGCACUCUAGAGAGACCGCCGGUGAUAAACCGGAGGAAGGUGUGGAUGACGUCAAGUCAUCAUGCCCCUUACAUCCUGGGCUACACACGUACUACAAUGCUACUGACAGAGGGCAGCAAACUCGCGAGAGCUAGCAAAUCCCAUAAACCGUGGCUCAGUUCAGAUCGUAGGCUGCAACUCGCCUACGUGAAGGAGGAAUCGCUAGUAAUCGCAGGUCAGCAUACUGCGGUGAAUACGUUCCCGGGCCUUGUACACACCGCCCGUCACACCAUGGAAGUUGGCCAUGCCCGAAGUCGUUACUCCAACCCUUGUGGAGGAGGACGCCGAAGGUGGGGCUGAUGACUGGGGUGAAGUCGUAACAAGGUA